CUUUUCCGACGUCAGUGUUUGCAGCCAGCAAGCGAAAACACACGCAGCGGUUAAAUACCUCGCGUGCAGCCCCAGUGGGACAGAUUCUCCCUCUGUUUAGAAACUCACCAGACUCUUCCCCGGCACACUUCGAAGGAAGGAAUUUCUGAACACAGUACAGGAACGGUUGUAAAAGUUAGUGAACCGCCAUGGCCCUACUGGCAGUGUCUAUCGCUCUGCUCGCCAUCUUUCAGCUUGGCAGCGCUGGAAAUGAUUAUUCUCAGCUUGUUACAGCACGCUGCCACAACGCCCCGGACGUGGACUGGACAGAAAGCAUCAAUGCUUACCUUCGGCGGAUACCAGACAUAAUUACAAUUCCAGGCCCCGCAAAGAAGCCAGGGAUAUUGGGAUUGAAAUUCUCUUCAGUCGAAGUGACAGGCCUCGGAAGUUUGUGCGCUUACAAGCCACCCCAUAGCUUUUGUGUGUCUAACCGCACCAUGAUUGAAGCUGAGGUGUUGGCCGUCGACUCUUUUGGGCUCAACGUGGAGUGGAAGUCCUGCACGGGAAGCAGCGGCAAACUAGGAAC